CCUACGGGCGGCAGCAGUGAGGAAUAUUGGUCAAUGGACGAGAGUCUGAACCAGCCAAGUAGCGUGAAGGAUGACUGCCCUAUGGGUUGUAAACUUCUUUUAUAUGGGAAUAAACUGUUCCACGUGUGGGCUUUUGUAUGUACCCUAUGAAUAAGGAUCGGCUAACUCCGUGCCAGCAGCCGCGGUAAUACGGAGGAUCCGAGCGUUAUCCGGAUUUAUUGGGUUUAAAGGGAGCGUAGGUGGAUUGUUAAGUCAGGUGUGAAAGUUUGCGGCUCAACCGUAAAAUUGCAGUUGAAACUGGCAGUCUUGAGUACAGUAGAGGUGGGCGGAAUUCGUGGUGUAGCGGUGAAAUGCUUAGAUAUCACGAAGAACUCCGAUUGCGAAGGCAGCUCACUGGACUGCAACUGACACUGAGGCUCGAAAGUGUGGGUAUCAAACAGGAUUAGAUACCCGAGUAGUC
rnacentral:rRNA from 1 species